GAUGAAGAACGCAGCGAAAUGCGAUAAGUAAUGUGAAUUGCAGAAUUCAGUGAAUCAUCGAAUCUUUGAACGCACAUUGCGCCCGCCAGUAUUCUGGCGGGCAUGCCUGUCCGAGCGUCAUUUCAACCCUCGAACCCCUCCGGGGGGUCGGCGUUGGGGAUCGGCACUUACCUGCCGGCCCCGAAAUACAGUGGCGGUCUCGCCGCAGCCUCUCCUGCGCAGUAGUUUGCACACUCGCACCGGGAGCGCGGCGCGUCCACGGCCGUAAAACAACCCAAACUUCUGUAAUGUUGACCUCGGAUCAGGUAGGAAUACCCGCUGAACUUAAGCAUAUCAAUAAGCGGAGGA
rnacentral:misc_RNA from 1 species